rnacentral:piRNA from 1 species
ACCAGAGGUCCAACCCCGUUGCCAGU